rnacentral:rRNA from 1 species
AGAACGAACGCUGGCGGCAUGCCUAAUACAUGCAAGUCGAACGAACUCUUCGGAGUUAGUGGCGCACGGGUGCGUAACGCGUGGGAAUCUGCCCCUUGGUUCGGAAUAACAGUUGGAAACGACUGCUAAUACCGGAUGAUGACGAAAGUCCAAAGAUUUAUCGCCAAGGGAUGAGCCCGCGUAGGAUUAGCUAGUUGGUGAGGUAAAGGCUCACCAAGGCAACGAUCCUUAGCUGGUCUGAGAGGAUGAUCAGCCACACUGGGACUGAGACACGGCCAGACUCCUACGGGAGGCAGCAGUAGGGAAUAGUUGGGCAAUGGGCGAAAGCCGUGAU